AAUCACUUUUGUAAUAUCAGCAUUGAUCUCAUCAGAAAAGACUCCAAGUCUUGGCACGCCACUGUCAAGCUCCCAAGGAGCUUGUGGGGACCUCACUUGAAGAACUGCUGAUUUAGGAAUUGUUAGUUAACUGCUGACUGAGGUGACUGAGGCAGUUAGUUUCUGUUAUGAUUACCUUUUCUAACCAGGAGUGAGUUAAAGAAUACAAGGUUUGUAAUUUUGUUUCCGUAUUUACUUUGUUAAAGGUCUGCCUUAAGGCUACUUCCCUCUCUGGGAUUGUGGGAGUCGUGUGUAUAUCCUUAACAUCUGUUGCUAUGCCUGGUGAAUAGCAAGUGGUCAAAAUACACCUGGUUAAGGGAGUCCACUGUAGAAUCCGAUAUUGUAAUCAGAGCACACUGUUAUAUGUGGAAGUUGCUGAUAUUGGGGAUGUUCCAGUGUAAAAGGAGCUUCCUUCAGAGAUUGACAACCAAUUCAAGUAGUAAAGGAUGACGCAUCUCUGAACGUACUCAUCAUAAAUGCUAAUUAC
rnacentral:lncRNA from 1 species